UCUAAAAUUAAAAAAAAAAAAAUUGAAAUAUAAAAACGAAGAAAAGAGUUGUUUUCCAGAUUCUAAAUUAGAGUAAAAUUUUUUUUUCCUGCCGGUAAGUAAAGUAUAUCUUGGGACUUACUUUUAAAAAGUUGAUCAAAAUAUUACACAGGGUAUAAAAUAUUAACAAACAUAUUUCGACCUUUUUAUGAAAUUCAAUUUGAUGACUUUACUACAUUAAAUAAAAAGUAUCUUUGUUAUUUACAUAAAAGACUGUUAACUCCACACAACGUGCAGUUUGGUUAAAAAAAGGAAAAAUACUUAUUUGUAAGAAUAUCCAAGAUCUAAUCUUAAGUUUGUCUCUGUAGCUUGUUUUUAUAUAAACAAACUCCUAGGCUCUUUUCAUAAGGUAAGUAGGAAUGGAAUACUGAGGGUUUGAGUUGUCCCAUAGAGCAAGAACACAGGAAAUGAAUCCCUGCAGGUAUAUGUGACUCCUCUAUUACAAUGUUUCUUUCAGAAAGCAGGACUAUUUCUGGGAAGAAGCGCAUCAGUACAUUUGUGGUUUGAAGAGAAAACUCUCCUUGAUAUCUUUUCUUAAUUUGAAAAAUAAAAGUGACUGGAAGCUAAAGCUCGAAAUUUAACGACAAAACACUUAAACGUGGUAAUAUUCAGAUAUACAACUGCAAAUCUCAGGAGUUUUACAUGUUUCUAGCAUGGAAAUGAAUAUUCCACCUUGGUAUAAACAUUUGUGGCAGGCUUUUUAAAGCAAUCUAAAAAUUCUCAUGUAUAUUAAGCAUCUAAAAUAAAGUUCUUUUAAAAUGCUAUAUUUUUGGGCAUGGAUACAUAAGGCAUAUUACUAAGCACAGAUUUCCUAAUGUUUCCUAAAAUGAGAGAAAAAAGUAGAGUUUUAGUUUACAAUUUUUAAAAAAGACUCUGUGAUAAAAACAGUUUUAACUAUCCUUUGCUAACCUCAUGCUAGGUCAGAUACAUUAUAUAAAAAAGUUUCUUAAAAAGUUAGGAUUUGUGUUCCCCCAUUAUCUUCAGAGGUAGGAAUAAGGUGCAAUUAAAAUUCAAAUUCUAAAUGCAAACACAAUCUUUUUAAUAACAAUAACCACAAUAAAAUCAAGAUUUAAAAGAUCAAUAUUAUAAGUAUUCAUCUUGCUAGCAUCUACACGUGGCAUAAAUCUAUACUCUAAUAUAAAAUGUAAUUCAAUCAACUAAAUGUGGGGGAGUUGGGACCCCAUACACCCAAGCUUUCCAACCUCUUCUUUCAACAUUAACACAUUUCUUCUGUGCACUGUAUUUUCAACAUAGAGUGUAGUUUGCAAUUGUGCACGCAUGAUUGCAUACUAUUUUGCUACCUCCUACUGGGUGUUAAAAUGUCAAAAAAGGUGGUGAUUACAUAGGCCAGAAAGGGUAGAAGACUUAAUGCGUAAAUUACCUGACCACACUCUUUCACCAUCUGGGAAUCCUUGGCUGAUAAGCUGGAUGUCAGAGCUGUUUGACCCAAGACUGUUGUCAGUGACAAUGUGUAAACACUAAUGUACCGUAGUAAAAAAAGAUUUCAUUGUGAUGAUUAGGUGUAAUGAAUUGGGUGCGUUUGAGCUAAGAGGAAUGGUGAUAAUAAAAAUCCCUGCAUAAUUUGUGCCUGCUAGGGCAGUAAAAUUAUGUUACCUUUACAAAAACACCAGAGGAAGUCUCAAGUUAAAUACACUUUUUUUGUGGCUUAAAGCACCCACAGAGGGGAUAAUGCUGUGAAAAAUAUGACAAAAUAAUAAAGUGGGGAAAAGCAGCUGAUCAAGAGUCAGGAGGGCCAGGAUUCUUGCUCUCCUACUUAUGUAUAAGGAGACCUUGGAUGAAUUACAUCUUCUGGGACUCAGAGAAUGUUAGAGAGCAUGGUGUUUUUGUUUUGUUUUGGUGGGGGUGGUGUGUGGAAAAGACCAAGAGCGCAUACUUCUCUUAAUGUUUUCUCCUUUUUAAAGUGAUCUCUAUACCCAAUGUGAGGCUUGUACUCAUGACCCUGAGAUCAAGGAUCACAGGCUCUUCCAGCUGAGCCAGCCAGGUGUCCCUCAUGCUCCUUUUAAUAUGUGGGUUAAAGGAAGAGUUAGUGAGCCCACUAGGAGUGGCAUGUGAGCUCUUCCUUCCUUAAGCAGCACUCUUUUCAUUAUGCCAAUGAUUCCUAGACCUUUGUAUUUAAUGAAGAAGCAAAACAAUCAUUCUAUGUAAAAAAAUUUCCCCCAAACCACGAAAAUUAUUUUAAAAACUUUACUCUUUAAUUAAAAAUAAAAAUACACCUGGAAGGGCAUAAUCUUAAAAUGCUACUAGAGUCCUUCAUAUGCUACCCAAAUCUAGCAAACUGAAACUUUGGGAGAUUUGGUUUUCUCAUCUAUGAGAUGAUGUGAUCAUAAAGCCAUCUUACAGUUCUAAACUCCAUGUCUUAUAUAUUCGAAAUAUUUCCAUUUCCUUUAACCAUUGCCCCUAAACUAAAUUUCCUUCAUCACGCUGGUUGUUCUUCAGCUUUUCAAUGUCUUUACUUACAACAGGCUUGCUUAAAAUUGAACAUGCCCCUCACACCCCAACAGGAACUGCUGCAGUGAGGCUAACCACUGGAGGUCUUUGGGGCUGGAGUGAAGAAAAAAGGUACCCAGUACUCUGAUACAACCAGUAUAAAGGUUCUUCUAUUCUUUGCUGCUUUCUUGCCACAAAUAUUUCCUAUUUCCCCGCCCCCCCUCCGCUUGGUCUCCCUUCCUAUCCCUACCUUCUCUGUUAACAACAAAGCUAGAAACUGGAAGAAGUUCAGAGUUGGCAACCCCACAGCUAUCUGCUAGGAAGCAAGUCAGUCACAGAAAUAGACACUAUCCUAGAACUUCUGUCCUAGUACUAAAGCAAUUUACCCCAAUAUACCUUGAUUUGGUCAUUCGCAAAUUCAAGAACUAUUAUAGAGACUUUAAUAUGCAAAAAGCUCUGUACUAAGCAGUGAACUAUACCAUAGAAGCACAUACCGAAAAUAUAAAUGUUAACUUUGUAUCUAGUUUGGAAAUGUGGGAAAAAACUAUUUCUAACCAUAUAACGAAUGGACAUAUAUUUUUAAUUUAAAACACAAUAAAAACUGCCCAUAAACUAAUGUUUGAGUUCCAGCUCAGAAAGUCUAUUACACCAAAACCCUCCAUCAGUGCUCUGAAGCAUUCACAAUACGUGAGCUGGACGCUCCUGUAGACAUGUAUAUUCAACUGGAGCCAUUAACCUAUCCUAUGAUCAUUAACAGUAUGCUAUUUCCCUACUGAGCUUGGCUAAUUAAUGACUACAAAGUUUAAAAGGCUCUUCUGCCAUCUUUGGAACCACUUUUGAAGAAUUUUAAUACGAAGUUAGGUUAUUUUCAAGUAAAUUUAUUUUUAUCACAUAUACUUUCUAGCAUUUUGAGACCUGUUUUUGAAAAACGGGUUUCCUUCAGUGGUUUUCCCCAAAGAAAUUCAAAUUAAGCAAAGUGUGAUUUACUUUUAAGUGAAAGCUUAAGAAAUGAACACUGUAAGCUCCUUCAUCAGGUUUGGUGCUCCAUUCACUAGCAGCUGCCUGUCAAACACCAUGAAAACCCUGUCCCUGUGAUUCUGCCAUGCAGAACAAUGGAUUAAGGCACCAUGCAUCUUAACAGUGCCUGCCACUCACAAAGAAACUUUAAAGCUCUGUUCACAGAUGCGGGGAUCUACUAUUUGACUAAAUAUUAAACCCCUUUUCUUUCUAUCAGAACUUUAAUAAUAAUAGCAAGGCUUCCACAAAGUUUUACAAAAUGAAUUAUACUAUGAAUAACCCUUAUGCUUCUUUCCACCAAUAAAAAUUAUUGUAUUAUAAAACAUCCUAUUUUUUUAAAAUAUGAAGUUCAUAUAAUAAUGUAGGUGGUAUAUCUCACUCAAUGACCCAAAGUAGACUCUAGCCAGUGACUCCAAAGUUGGAGAGGCAAGGCAGAGAAAAUCUUAGCUCAAAAUACCUUCAGAAGCUGUAAGUCUGCUUUCAAAAGAAAAAAGUCACACAGAAAGCCUUUAUGUGUGUUAAUUAUACCUAUCCAGAGACCUGAAAGUUCUUGGAAAAUAUUAUUUAUGCUCAACAAUUAAGAAAACCCUAACUUCCAGAUGUUUGUCAAACCACUUUAAUUAUACAGUUUCAACUGUAAGAAAGUAUAGAAUCAUUGAGGAGAAGUGAUUUCAUUAAGAAGUGAGGUUUAAUUUUCUGGGUAGAGAUUCAGAAAAUUUUCUGGCUGGCAUUUUUAUUACUGUUUCCUUGAAAAUGGUUACCUUAAGUACUACCAAACAUCCGUUCAUUUAUCCCCCCCAGAAUUAACUCUGGUUUUCCUUCUGUCUAAUCAAACUUUAUUUUUGAAAUAGCAAAUAUUUCUCACAACCGUUCCUUGGGAAAAUCAGAAAAGUGAGCACUGAGGGUGGAGAAAAAGAAAAUGGAAGUGAACAACACACUGCAAGAGUGUUUUGCAGUGCUGGUUGAGAUAACAAAAGAUGAGGCCAAGUGUACCCAGGCCUUUGAGCUGCUCCUGAAAGGAGAGAGACUUUGGCUGACAGCUGCAGACAUCAGCCAUGACAACUGAGCAAACUGGAAGAACUGUUAAGUUAAUCUUCACUUAACCAAAACAUAUUAAUGUCAUUGUUUUUUGGUUUCCUACUACUGAGAGAUUCUUCGGUGGGAGUGAUCUUUCUGAAACACCAAAUCUGAAAACAUCUCUUCUGGCUUAUCUCUCCAGCCUUGGUUCUCAUGCAUCAUCACAGAGGUUGUACCUAAGCCUGGAUUCCAGCUCUGUCAACUCUGCAGUUUUGCGUAUCUAAGCCAGUUAUCAGCCUGCCACCCUUUACAACUCAGCUCGUAUUUCAUUUCCUGCAGAACAGUUUUCCUGGACCCCUAGGUUGGGUUGGGUGUCCCCGAAACCUGUUUUUGUAAGCACCCUGUUCUUGCCUUCAUUUUGUAGCAGUGUGUUGCACUUGUCUAUCUAACUUUCUUCUCUACCAGGGAAGGACCUCUGUGAGAAAUCUGGAUAGCAUAAUGAGAAACAGAGAAAAAACAGUUACGUCUGAUUACCAUGAAGAAAAGACUGAAAUGAAGCUAUAAUGUCUAAAACACAAUUUAAACUAAUACUUUUCAACAGGUGUCUCAGAAACCAAUCUUCACCAACAUAGUAUGAAAGACACGUGGGUUCAGGACAUACUAUGACAAGAUACUUACCCCCUGGUUUCUUCUUCAUGACCCCUCCCCUUCUGGAUUUUAAUCCACUGUUCCAACUGUUGCAUUGAGUUUGUCCUCUGUAUGACUCGAUCAGCCUCUGUGUGUAAGGGCGCGGUAUUUGGGUGGUUUCCACCUCUAAGAUCUGCCAGGCUGACAUUGA